rnacentral:rRNA from 1 species
GAUGAACGCUGGCGGCGUGCCUAAUACAUGCAAGUCGAGCGAACGGACGAGAAGCUUGCUUCUCUGAUGUUAGCGGCGGACGGGUGAGUAACACGCGGAUAACCUACCUAUAAGACUGGGAUAACUUCGGGAAACCGGAGCUAAUACCGGAUAAUAUUUUGAACCGCAUGGUUCAAAAGUGAAAGACGGUCUUGCUGUCACUUAUAGAUGGAUCCGCGCUGCAUUAGCUAGUUGGUAGGGUAACGGCUUACCAAGGCAACGAUGCAUAGCCGACCUGAGAGGGUGAUCGGCCACACUGGAACUGAGACACGGUCCAGACUCCUACGGGAGGCAGCAGUAGGGAAUCUUCCGCAAUGGGCGAAAGCCUGACGGAGCAACGCCGCGUGAGUGAUGAAGGUCUUCGGAUCGUAAAACUCUGUUAUUAGGGAAGAACAUAUGUGUAAGUAACUGUGCACAUCUUGACGGUACCUAAUCAGAAAGCCACGGCUAACUACGUG